rnacentral:rRNA from 1 species
CCUACGGGAGGCAGCAGUAGGGAAUCUUCCGCAAUGGACGAAAGUCUGACGGAGCAACGCCGCGUGAACGAUGAAGGCCUUCGGGUCGUAAAGUUCUGUUGUUAGGGAAGAACAAGUACCGGAGUAACUGCCGGUACCUUGACGGUACCUAACCAGAAAGCCACGGCUAACUACGUGCCAGCAGCCGCGGUAAUACGUAGGUGGCAAGCGUUGUCCGGAAUUAUUGGGCGUAAAGCGCGCGCAGGCGGUCCUUUAAGUCUGAUGUGAAAGCCCACGGCUCAACCGUGGAGGGUCAUUGGAAACUGGGGGACUUGAGUACUGAAGAGGAAAGUGGAAUUCCACGUGUAGCGGUGAAAUGCGUAGAGAUGUGGAGGAACACCAGUGGCGAAGGCGACUUUCUGGUCAGUAACUGACGCUGAGGCGCGAAAGCGUGGGGAGCAAACAGGAUUAGAUACCCUGGUAGUCCACGCCGUAAACGAUGAGUGCUAAGUGUUAGGGGGUUUCCGCCCCUUAGUGCUGCAGCUAACGCAUUAAGCACUCCGCCUGGGGAGUACGGCCGCAAGGCUGAAACUCAAAGGAAUUGACGG